UUUUUUCAGGACGUUUGCGGA
rnacentral:piRNA from 1 species